rnacentral:rRNA from 1 species
ACGAACGCUGGCGGCGUGCUUAACACAUGCAAGUCGAGCGGUGAAGCGCCUUCCUUUUUGGUGGGUGUGGAUGAGUGGCGAACGGGUGAGUAACACGUGAGUAACCUGCCCCCUUCUUCUGGAUAACCGCAUGAAAGUGUGGCUAAUACGGGAUAUUCUGGGUCUGUCGCAUGAUGGGUCUGGGAAAGAUAUUGUUUCGGUGGGGGAUGGGCUCGCGGCCUAUCAGCUUGUUGGUGGGGUGAUGGCCUACCAAGGCGGUGACGGGUAGCCGGCCUGAGAGGGUGGACGGUCACACUGGGACUGAGACACGGCCCAGACUCCUACGGGAGGCAGCAGUGGGGAAUAUUGCAUAAUGGGCGCAAGCCUGAUGCAGCGACGCCGCGUGAGGGAUGGAGGCCUUCGGGUUGUGAACCUCUUUCGCCAGUGAAGCAGGCCUGCCUCGUUUGUGGGUGGGUUGACGGUAGCUGGAUAAGAAGCGCCGGCUAACUACGUG